GCCGGGGUGCCUGAGUGGUUAAAGGGCUGGCCUCGAGAGCCAGUGGGCCUUUGUAGGCCCUUAUGGGUUCGAAUCCCAUCCCCGGCG
rnacentral:tRNA from 1 species